UGAGUAACCUGCCCUUAACUCUGGGAUAAGCCUGGGAAACUGGGUCUAAUGCCGAAUACGACCUCCUUUCGCAUGAUUGGAGGUGGAAAGCUCCGGCGGAGAAGGAUGAGCUCGCGGCCUAUCAGCUAGUUGGUGUGGGUAACGGCCCACCAAGGCGACGACGAGUAGCCGGCCUGAGAGGGUGACCGGCCACACUGGGACUGAGACACGGCCCAGACUCCUACGGGAGCAG
rnacentral:rRNA from 1 species